CGUCACACUAUCAUUAACUGAAUCCAUAGGUUAAUGAGGCGAACCGGGGGAACUGAAACAUCUAAGUACCCCGAGGAAAAGAAAUCAACCGAGAUUCCCCCAGUAGCGGCGAGCGAACGGGGAGGAGCCCAGAGCCUGAAUCAGCAUGUGUGUUAGUGGAAGCGUCUGGAAAGGCGCGCGAUACAGGGUGACAGCCCCGUACACAAAAGCGCAUGUGCUGUGAGCUCGAUGAGUAGGGCGGGACACGUGGUAUCCUGUCUGAAUAUGGGGGGACCAUCCUCCAAGGCUAAAUACUCCUGACUGACCGAUAGUGAACCAGUACCGUGAGGGAAAGGCGAAAAGAACCCCGGCGAGGGGAGUGAAAAAGAACCUGAAACCGUGUACGUACAAGCAGUGGGAGCACCCUUUGGGUGUGACUGCGUACCUUUUGUAUAAUGGGUCAGCGACUUAUAUUCUGUAGCAAGGUUAACCGAAUAGGGGAGCCGGAGGGAAACCGAGUCUUAAUUGGGCGUUAAGUUGCAGGGUAUAGACCCGAAACCCGGUGAUCUAGCCAUGGGCAGGUUGAAGGUUGGGUAACACUAACUGGAGGACCGAACCGACUAAUGUUGAAAAAUUAGCGGAUGACCUGUGGCUGGGGGUGAAAGGCCAAUCAAACCGGGAGAUAGCUGGUUCUCCCCGAAAGCUAUUUAGGUAGCGCCUCGUGAAUUCAUCUCCGGGGGUAGAGCACUGUUUCGGCUAGGGGGCCAUCCCGGCUUACCAACCCGAUGCAAACUGCGAAUACCGGAGAAUGUUAUCACGGGAGACACACGGCGGGUGCUAACGUCCGUCGUGAAGAGGGAAACAACCCAGACCGCCAGCUAAGGUCCCAAAGUCAUGGUUAAGUGGGAAACGAUGUGGGAAGGCCCAGACAGCCAGGAUGUUGGCUUAGAAGCAGCCAUCAUUUAAAGAAAGCGUAAUAGCUCACUGGUCGAGUCGGCCUGCGCGGAAGAUGUAACGGGGCUAAACCAUGCACCGAAGCUGCGGCAGCGACACUGUGUGUUGUUGGGUAGGGGAGCGUUCUGUAAGCCUGUGAAGGUGUGUCGUGAGGCAUGCUGGAGGUAUCAGAAGUGCGAAUGCUGACAUAAGUAACGAUAAAGCGGGUGAAAAGCCCGCUCGCCGGAAGACCAAGGGUUCCUGUCCAACGUUAAUCGGGGCAGGGUGAGUCGACCCCUAAGGCGAGGCCGAAAGGCGUAGUCGAUGGGAAACGGGUUAAUAUUCCCGUACUUGGUGUUACUGCGAAGGGGGGACGGAGAAGGCUAUGUUGGCCGGGCGACGGUUGUCCCGGUUUAAGCGUGUAGGUGUGUGUUCCAGGUAAAUCCGGUUCACUUUAACACUGAGGCGUGACGACGAGGCACUACGGUGCUGAAGCAACAAAUGCCCUGCUUCCAGGAAAAGCCUCUAAGCAUCAGGUAACAUCAAAUCGUACCCCAAACCGACACAGGUGGUCAGGUAGAGAAUACCAAGGCGCUUGAGAGAACUCGGGUGAAGGAACUAGGCAAAAUGGUGCCGUAACUUCGGGAGAAGGCACGCUGACACGUAGGUGAAGUGAUUUACUCAUGGAGCUGAAGUCAGUCGAAGAUACCAGCUGGCUGCAACUGUUUAUUAAAAACACAGCACUGUGCAAACACGAAAGUGGACGUAUACGGUGUGACGCCUGCCCGGUGCCGGAAGGUUAAUUGAUGGGGUCAGCGCAAGCGAAGCUCCUGAUCGAAGCCCCGGUAAACGGCGGCCGUAACUAUAACGGUCCUAAGGUAGCGAAAUUCCUUGUCGGGUAAGUUCCGACCUGCACGAAUGGCGUAAUGAUGGCCAGGCUGUCUCCACCCGAGACUCAGUGAAAUUGAACUCGCUGUGAAGAUGCAGUGUACCCGCGGCAAGACGGAAAGACCCCGUGAACCUUUACUAUAGCUUGACACUGAACAUUGAGCCUUGAUGUGUAGGAUAGGUGGGAGGCUUUGAAGUGUGGACGCCAGUCUGCAUGGAGCCGACCUUGAAAUACCACCCUUUAAUGUUUGAUGUUCUAACGUGGACCCGUUACCCGGGUUGCGGACAGUGUCUGGUGGGUAGUUUGACUGGGGCGGUCUCCUCCUAAAGAGUAACGGAGGAGCACGAAGGUUGGCUAAUCCUGGUCGGACAUCAGGAGGUUAGUGCAAUGGCAUAAGCCAGCUUGACUGCGAGCGUGACGGCGCGAGCAGGUGCGAAAGCAGGUCAUAGUGAUCCGGUGGUUCUGAAUGGAAGGGCCAUCGCUCAACGGAUAAAAGGUACUCCGGGGAUAACAGGCUGAUACCGCCCAAGAGUUCAUAUCGACGGCGGUGUUUGGCACCUCGAUGUCGGCUCAUCACAUCCUGGGGCUGAAGUAGGUCCCAAGGGUAUGGCUGUUCGCCAUUUAAAGUGGUACGCGAGCUGGGUUUAGAACGUCGUGAGACAGUUCGGUCCCUAUCUGCCGUGGGCGCUGGAGAACUGAGGGGGGCUGCUCCUAGUACGAGAGGACCGGAGUGGACGCAUCACUGGUGUUCGGGUUGUCAUGCCAAUGGCACUGCCCGGUAGCUAAAUGCGGAAGAGAUAAGUGCUGAAAGCAUCUAAGCACGAAACUUGCCCCGAG
rnacentral:rRNA from 1 species